GCCCGCCAAUUCUGGUUGAUCCCGCCAGAGGCCAUUGCUAUCCGGUUUCUACUAAGCCAUGCGAGUCGUGAGGGGUAAGCCCUCGGCGCACUGCUCCGUAAUAUGCAGUCAACCUACCCUUGGCAGGGGGAUAAUCCCGGGAAACUGGGGCUAAUACCCCAUAGGUGCUAGGUACUGGAAGGUCCUAGCACCCAAAGCCACGGCGGCCAAGGAUGGGACUGCAGCCUAUCAGCUUGUUGUGGAGGUAAAGGCUCCACAAGGCGAUAACGGGUACGGGCUAUGGAAGUAGGAGCCCGGAGAUGGACUCUGAGACAUGAGUCCAGGUACUACGGUACGCAGCAGGCGAGAAACCUUUUCAAUUCGCUAACGCGAGAAAAGGGAAGCCGGAGUGCUCUUGCUCUGCAAGAGCUUUUGCCGUCUGAAAACGGGACGGCGAAUAAGGAGUGGGUAAGACGGGUGCCAGCCACCGCGGUAAUACCCGCACUCCGAGUGAUGGCCACGAUUAUUGGGCCUAAAGCGUCCGUAGCCGGUUUGGUAAGUCCUCAGUGAAAUCUUCCAGCAAACUGGAAGGCUUGCUGGGGAUACUGCCAGACUUGAGACCGGGAGGGGGCAGGGGUACUCUCAGGGUAGGGGUGAAAUCCUGUAAUCCUGAGGGGACCACCUGUGGCGAAGGCGCCUGCCUGGAACGGGUCUGACGGUGAGGGACGAAAGCUAGGGGAGCGAUCGGGAUUAGAUACCCCGGUACACGAGAUUGGGUAUCUUCUGAUUAGACAUGAAGAAAAAUCCCAAGUAAUCCAGAAGCUAGGAUUUCCUAACUCGUGCGGGAAAGUCCUAGCCGUAAACGAUGCCCUCUUGGUGUUGCAAGCUUCUCGGGAGCUUGCAGUGCCGGAGCGUAGGUGUUAAGAGGGCCGCCUGGGGAGUAUGCCCGCAAGGGUGAAACUUAAGGGAAUUGGCGGGGGAGCACACAAGGGGUGGGCGUUGCGGUUCAAUUGGAUUCAACGCCGGAAAUCUUACCAGGGCCGACGGCAGGGUGAAGGUCAGUCUGAAGGGCUUACCAGACAAGCCGAGAGGUGGUGCAUGGCCAUCGUCAGCUCGUACCGUGAGGCGUGCGCUUAAGUGCGUUAACGAGCGAGACCCACAUCCCAUGUUGCUACUACCUUCUCAGGAAGGUAGGCACUCAUGGGAGACCGCUGGCGAUAAGCCAGAGGAAGGAGUGGGCGACGGUAGAUAGGCAAAGGGCCUGAACCGGUCUAUAGGAAAAUCAUGACUAUAGACAUCGCCAUGGCUCUUACAUGUCCUUUACCUAGCCGAAGUCCGUAUGCCCCGAAUGCCCUGGGCCACACGCGACGCACAAUGCGCGCCACAAUGGGAUGCGACCCCGAAAGGGGAAGCGAAUCCCCUAAAAGCGCGCCCAGUUCAGAUCGAGGGCUGUAACUCGUCCUCGUGAAGCUGGAAUCCCUAGUAAGCGAACGUCAUCAUCGUUCGCUGAAUAAGUCCCUGCUCCUUGCACACACUGCCCGUCAAGCCAAUCGAGCGGAACUCCAUCGAGGCUUGUGAUGAGCAAGUCGAGUUGGAGUUCCGUGAGAGGGGCUAAGUCGCCACAAGGUAGCCGUAAGG
rnacentral:rRNA from 1 species